rnacentral:rRNA from 1 species
AUGAACCAAGAAGGGGUCAGCAAAGAGCACUUAUUAAUGGAGAAGCUAGACCGUUUGGAACAACAACAAGAUACGCAUUGGAAACAACGAGCCCAUAUUAAGUGGUUGCAAGAUGGUGACAAGAACACAUCCUUCUUUCAUGCUUUUGCCUCCGAAAGAAAGAAAAGGAAUACCAUUAAGAAGCUAAAAAGGGAGGGUGACAGUUGGGUGGAGGGGCAGGAACAUUUGAAAGAGCGUAUUGCAAACUAUUUUUUAAAUAUAUUCUCCUCCACGACGGUAGGAGAUAAUGGGGAAAUUAUGAGAAUGGUGCAGCCAAAGGUGACGCCAGAGAUGAAUGACAUGCUAUGUGCUGAAUAUACAGAAGAGGACGUGAAAAGAGCCUUAGAUAACAUCGGUGACUUAAACACCCCGGGACCUGAUGAUAUGCCAGCCAUUUUCUUUAAAAGGUUUUGGAAAACUGUGGGGAACCAUAUCACUAAAGAAGUUCUUUACAUAUUGAGAGGAGGAGAUAUGCCUGAAGGAUGGAACGAUACUCUAAUAGUGCUUAUUAUGAAGAACACCAACCCAAUGAGCAUAAAGGAUCUAAGACCUAUAAGUCUGUGCAAUGUGGUGUAUAAGGUGGUCUAUAAGGUAAUCACAAAUAGACUCAAAGUAAUUCUCCCCGACAUCAUCUCCCCUAACCAGUGCGCCUUUGUACCCGAGAGACUAAUUUCAGAUAAUAUUCUAUUGGCAUAUGAACUAACACAUUUCCUACAAAGAAGAAGAAUGGGUUCCGUGGGCUACGCGGCUCAAACUGGAGAUGAGCAAAGCCUACGACUGCGUUGA